rnacentral:rRNA from 1 species
UACGUAGGGGGCAAGCGUUGUCCGGAUUUAUUAGGCGUAAAGAGCGUGUAGGCGGCCAGGUAGGUCCGCUGUGAAAACUCGAGGCUCAACCUCGAGACGUCGGCGGAAACCCUCUGGCUAGAGUCCGGAAGAGGAGAGUGGAAUUCCUGGUGUAGCGGUGAAAUGCGCAGAUAUCAGGAAGAACACCCGUGGCGAAGGCGGCUCUCUGGGACGGUACUGACGCUGAGACGCGAAAGCGUGGGGAGCAAACAGG